UAAUACAGAGGGUGCAAGCGUUAAUCGGAUUUACUGGGCGUAAAGGGCGCGUAGGUGGUUAUUUAAGUGAGAUGUGAAAUCCCCGGGCUCAACCUGGGAACUGCAUCUUAUACUGGGUAACUGGAGUACAUUAGAGGGUAGUGGAAUUUCCGGUGUAGCGGUGAAAUGCGUAGAUAUCGGAAGGAACACCAGUGGCGAAGGCGGCUACCUGGAAUGAUACUGACACUGAGGCGCGAGAGCGUGGGGAGCAAACAGGAUUAGAUACCCUGGUAGUCCACGCCGUAAACGAUGAUAACUAGAUGUUGGGCAGCUUAGACUGUUCAGUAUCGAAGCUAACGCGAUAAGUUAUCCGCCUGGGGAGUACGGUCGCAAGAUUA
rnacentral:rRNA from 1 species